GGGCCCGCACAAGCGGUGGAGUAUGUGGUUUAAUUCGAUGCAACGCGAAGAACCUUAUCCAGGGUUUGACAUCCCGGAUUAAACCGUCGAAAGACGGUCUACACCCUUUGGGUGGAACGGUGACAGGUGCUGCAUGGCUGUCGUCAGCUCGUGCUGUGAAGUGUCGGGUUAAGUCCCUCAACGAGCGCAACCCUUAUCGUUAGUUGCUAACAGGUAAUGCUGAGGACUCUAGCGAGACUGCCGGUGUCAAACCGGAGGAAGGUGGGGAUGACGUCAAGUCCUCAUGGCCUUUAUGCCCUGGGCUGCACACGUGCUACAAUGGUAGGUACAGAACGAUGCAAGACCGCGAGGUGGAGCAAAUCGCUAAAACCUGCCCCAGUUCGGAUUGGAGGCUGCAACUCGCCUCCAUGAAGUCGGAAUCGCUAGUAAUCGCGGAUC
rnacentral:rRNA from 1 species